UACGUAGGGGGCUAGCGUUGUCCGGAUUUAUUGGGCUUAAAGAGCUCGUAGGUGGUUCGGUAAGUCGGAUGUGAAAUCUCCAGGCUCAACCUGGAGGGGUCAUUCGAUACUGCCGUGACUAGAGUUCGGUAGAGGUGUGUGGAAUUCCUGGUGGAGCGGUGAAAUGCGCAGAGAUCAGGAGGAACGCCAGUAGCGAAGGCGGCACUCUGGGCCGAUACUGACACUGAGGGGCGGAAGCGUGGGGAGCGAACAGG
rnacentral:rRNA from 1 species